rnacentral:lncRNA from 1 species
CCGCCCUCCACCUCCUCCUCUUGGCGGGAGGGCGGAGGUAGCUGGGAGCUGUGUCCUCCACCGCUGGCUGCCAAUGCAGCUCGAAUUGGGAGAGUUGUCACCAGUCUCUGGCUCCAAGCAGGAGGUUUGUUAGGAAUCAGUGCUGUCUACUUAUGAAGAUUUAUGGAGAAGCCGACAGACAUUAGGCUUUGAAGCAGAACUCAGAUGAAGAAUCAGGAAGGAACAGGAGAAAGAGAAGGAGAAGGUGGAGGUAGGGGUGGAGGAGGAACUGAAGGAAGAGGAGUAGCCAAAGUCACAGAAGUAAUUAGAGACAGAAUUCAUAUCCUCUUAGAAGAUGACAUACCUUCUUCAUAAGAGGACUAACCUCCAAAACUUUUAAGACUUGGAUUUCCUAAUGAAAAUUCUUCAAAGGGCCCCAUACUCUCACGAUGUUGGGCUCACGUGGACAUAUCUAGAACGUGAAGGUAAUAGAAAUAAAUUUUAUCACUCCCUUCCAGUCCUGAAACUAAAACCUAUAAUUUCAGCCACUCCCA